AUCGUAACGGAAGGGCCGCCGGGGGAAGGGGCACCGCGGCUUCCUGCGGCAGCCCCGCGGCCAGGGCCGGGCUCCGAACGCGGUCCCGGCGCGGACAGGGACAACGGCAGCGGAAAGAAGGAGAUUGUGCUCGGCUCUUGUCUGAGAACCGCGCGCAGAGCGGGGCAUGAUCCACCCGCUCCCUUCGGGGUGCCGGACCGGGGGAAACUCAAAAUAUCGGCGGGAUGCAACACUUGGCUGUCCCAGGUGCAAAGUUUGGGGUGCAGAAUGAGAGCUGAAGUGCAGAAUGGGAACUGAGGUGUAGAGAGCCAAGGCCUCUGCUUGCAGCAGCUGAAGCGGUCGGUGAUGGGAAUCCUGGAGCUGUUGGGUUGUCGGAGGUUUCACACAGUGAAACAGCAAAGUUGUAGUGCUCUAAUUCAUCCCUGUUUUGUUGGCAAGCGGGUUUUCCCCGAGGAUACGCUGCCAGCCCUGUGCUAUCAUCCCUGUGCUUCCAGAGCAGAACCAAGCUGUGGGAUGCUUCCUUUCGGGACACCCCCCUCAACCUGCUCGUUCCUAAAACACACAGACCGAUAAAACAGAGCCGAUAAGACAUUUGCCUGUGUGUUCUUGUCCCUGGGAUAUGUAACAUGCUUUUAUGUUCUGAUCUGGCUCGCUUGAACGAGACUGCUGAAAACAGCACAGCCAGCAUCUGUGUGCGGGAGGAAACAAUGGACUUGCUUUUCCUUCACUGCAGAAUUGCAGCCUGGAGGUGAGGAAACUUUGCUUCGCUCACCAUAUUCCUCCCUAAUGCCGCGGCAGAGGGAAGAAAGGGCUCUUGUAUUCAUGUAUCCUCCCGGGCCAAGUCAAUUUACAUGUGAAUGCACUUUUAAAAUAAAAUUAAAGUCAAAGCUGUGGCCAGAA